rnacentral:rRNA from 1 species
UACGUAGGGUGCGAGCGUUGUCCGGAAUUAUUGGGCGUAAAGAGCUCGUAGGCGGUCUGUCGCGUCGAUCGUGAAAACUUGGGGCUUAACCCUGAGCUUGCGGUCGAUACGGGCAUGACUGGAGUUCGGCAGGGGAGACUGGAAUUCCUGGUGUAGCGGUGAAAUGCGCAGAUAUCAGGAGGAACACCGGUGGCGAAGGCGGGUCUCUGGGCAGAUACUGACGCUGAGGAGCGAAAGCGUGGGGAGCGAACAGG